GAUGAACGCUAGCUACAGGCUUAACACAUGCAAGUCGAGGGACCGGCGCACGGGUGAGUAACACGUAUCCAACCUGCCCUUUACUCGGGGAUAGCCUUUCGCAAGAAAGAUUAAUACCCGAUAUAAAGGCUGGGGAUGCGUUCCAUGAGGUUGUUGGUGAGGUAACGGCCCACCAAGCCUUCGAUGGUUAGGGGUGCUGAGAGGAAGGUCCACCACAUUGGAACUGAGACACGGUCCAAACUCAUACGGGAGGCAGCAGGGAGGAAGAUUGGUCAAUGGGCGUUAGCCUGAACCAGCCAAGUAGCGUGAAGAAUGAAGGCUUAUGAGUCGUAAACUUCUUUUAUAUAAGAAUAUGUAUUAUAUGAAUAAGGAUCGGCUAACUCCGUGCCAGCCGCCGCGGUAAUAC
rnacentral:rRNA from 1 species